rnacentral:ncRNA from 1 species
AUAUCAAUAAGCGAUGAGGCUCGCUCAAAAGAUAUAAAUCGCUCAAACAGCUAAUGGCCUCUACCAGGUU